rnacentral:lncRNA from 1 species
GUCUAAGGCUGGGCGAGGGGAGAGGGUGCUCCACCCCGUUGCCAUCCCUAGAAAUUUUCAUACCUAUUAUUGGCAUGGAAAGAAAGCAAUGCGAAAAUUGCACGAAGAUGCAAUGCACACUGUCCGCUAUAACUUCGUUAGUGGAUUGACUGGAGGAGUCACAGAAUCAGAUAACACCCUACACACGUGACGCUACAAGAUUGCUAAUUGUGGAUUUAAGGCCAAAUUAUUGAAAAGUGCACUAACAAUGUCCCAUAAACAAGUAUAGUUGAAAGCUUCCUACCCAGAGUAUAUUGUGCAUUUACCUCUUGCCUUAUCUUAUCGACAGGAAUCAAAGAACCGAACAAGCGGUCCAUCAAACGUGGUAUCAGAGUGAGAUCACUAGAACAUAGUAGUGUUGGAUGCGAGAUUCACUGAUGGCGUGCAUUCCUACAGAAAUGAUUUUGGGAACACUGAAAACGUAGCAAAACUGCGAUAUGUGUGACAAAG